UUCCUGUCCCAGCUUUGUUUCCUGGUGUGCAGAAAUGUGAACAAGCAGCCUCACCGUCCUGCAGCCACAACCUGGAGACAGCAUGCUUUCCCCACCAUGAUGAAGGAUACCCUGAAAACAUACAGCCCAUUGUGUGGAAGCUCAGCCUGAAGACUGACAGGUGAACUUAUCCGGAACCAUGUCUAAGCAUAAGAUGAACUUCACCUCAGCAUCCCGAAUAAUUAUAGUAUUUGGCCAGCAUUGUUGAACAGGGGUUUAAAACUCCAUCAGGUUCUAGUUACUCUGCCUUCAGCGACCACAGCUGGCCACCCGGAAGAAGACAAUUAUGGAAUAAUGUUGUUAUGUCUUAAUAAAGAUUACUGAUGUCUGAGGCAAGAUCAGUGUAAGUGAACUUUCAUGGGCAUGUACCUCCCAACCCUCCUCCAUGUGUGUAAUUAAAAAAAGAAAACAAAAGAAAAUAAACAGCUGGAUGCUAAUGCUAUU